ACAGACGAGGCCACACUUGUCAUCGUCGACAACGCCUUGCACAUUCCAACAAAAGAAAGAAAUACAUUGGACAUGAUUAACCAUGGAAACAAACAUACACCUUGGACGCGACACCGACACAAGCAUGCACCCAUGAGUGAAAAAAGAUACAUUGCCAGCCAUGUUGGCGAGAAAGACGAAGGAGACGCGAGAACGAGGGGGAGCAGCCAACCCCCAGCCAGACCACACGGGUCACUAAUUAUGGGACAGAGCCAGCACCAAAUACGCCCUUAAAUCCGCUGCUACGCGCAACCCCGAAACCCAGGCGGACGACAGGGGCCUGACCAUAGCGUUGAUGACGCGGUCCCUAAUCGCCUUGGCCUGGAGACAAGGUUAGCAACCGAUUAAUGCGUCCUUAGGAGCACAACAUUUUUCCGCCUUGCCAGCAAUCCCAACGAACUCGCCAGAGUCGGCUAGGGAAAGACGACCACUGUGGCACCCCACCUUCUCCGGGAUAGCGGGGAGCUCACCCCCG
rnacentral:lncRNA from 1 species